rnacentral:other from 1 species
GUUACCCUACUGUGCGCGUAGGCGCGCUGGCUGUUUGCUUCCAACAAAGCAAACUUGGGAGCCUGGUCUCUAUCACCGGCAUGUGGGCCGCUUCAUGCGGAACGUUAACGUGAUAGGAGGGCGCCCACCUCGCAGGGGCGGGGAGAAACGGCCAGCCCUACGGCAUGGUGGGGUCCUU